rnacentral:rRNA from 1 species
AUACGGAGGAUCCGAGCGUUAUCCGGAUUUAUUGGGUUUAAAGGGUGCGCAGGCGGCCAUUUAAGUCAGCGGUUAAAUCGUGGGGCUCAACCCCAUUCUGCCGUUGAUACUGGGUGGCUUGAUUGCGGUCGGGGUUGGCGGAAUUCGUUGUGUAGCGGUGAAAUGCAUAGAUAUGACGAAGAACACCGAUUGCGUAGGCAGCUGACCAGACCGCAAAUGACGCUCAUGCACGAAAGGGCGGGGAUCGAACAGGAUUAGAUACCCUGGUAGUCCGCACAGUAAACGAUGAAUACUUGUUUUCGGCGAUAUAAUGUCGGAGGCAAAGCGAAAGCGAUAAGUAUUCCACCUGGGGAGUACGCCGGCAACGGUGAAACUCAAAUGAAUUGACGGGG